rnacentral:lncRNA from 1 species
GCGUCGGGAUGUGAGCCACCAGCAAGGAGGGACACCAAUAAGGCGUCUGAUAAGAUAAUGAAAAUUAUCAUCACUAUUCCUUCUGCAAGUCCCCAGAUUGAAGGUUCAAGAGUAACACCCCAGAAGACUGUCUUUGCUGGCAAGGAAUUUAUUUGACGUGAGUCUUCAACUUCAUGCUCCAGUCGCCAUGCCUGCUGCUUGCUGCUAUGCCUCCCUGCCAUGAUGAGCACUUACCUCUGGAAACCUGAGUCCAAGAGUCCUUUGGAGUAUUUUACCUGGAGUGCUGUUAAUGUUCUUCAAAAUAUGACCUGUCCAUCAGAUGUGGCUAAAUGAAACUAUCACAAAAACUAAAUCUACAGAUUCAACAAAUAUCAAGCAUCAGCUUGGAGAGUAAUGCACUGAGUUAUAAGAAUAAGUUGAUAAAUUUAUCAAUUGUCUCAUUUAUAUGUGUCGCAAUCUGAUUUGUAGGAAACCCAUGAAUUGGUUCUGAUAUAUAUAUAUAUAUAUAUAUAUAUAUAUAUAUAUAUAUAUAUUCACAUUUCUAUGAAUAAGUUAGGACCUCCCAAUCUAUCCUGGAUAUCCAGUCUAAGUGAAUCCAUGAGGAGGAUACUCUUUCCAACAAUAUCUUGAUACAUACAAGAAGUACUUCUAGUCUCAAGAACGUAUUAUAACAGCUAGGAAGAAUUCAACAAAACGUUGCUAAUAUGCACCUCUUUAUUUACCUGAGUUGAAACAUCUAUACUGAUUCAAACACACUUCAUUUUUAAACUGCACAAAGCAUGAAGUCCUAGCCUGGUAACUUGAAAUUGGAUUCUUCAGCAACAGAAUCCACUGGCUUUUAGUUCACAUCAUAAUCAGUGUGCUGUGUUCCUCACAAGGUGGUCUUUUAUCUGUUAUGUAACAUUCAUCCUACUGAACAUUAAAUAUUGCAUGGCAUAUCAAGCAAUCUGACUGGAACAAUUACUGGUGCUAUACACAUUCCAGGGUCUCUAUUUGUCAAAAAGUUAAUAUUUUUAAAGAUAAAAUGACUUUAAUAUAUAUAUAUGUGUGUGUGUGUGUGUGUAUGUGUGUGUGUGUGUAUAGUCUCCUAAUUAGCUGGCAGUCAGUGCUCAACUUCUGAUUUUAGCUCUGCAGGGUCCUUGUAGAUGUUAUUAUUGCAAAGAGAAAUCAAAAAUCAAAGUGAAUCCUUAGUGUCACUCUUGAAGCAAUAGAGGUGCAAUUGCUGAAAUAGCAGCCAAGCAUUGUGCAAUACAACUAACUCACAGCUUGGUGCAAUGUCCCCACUGAGAGGGAAAUGUAGGGGAACUGCCAGAGUUUUACUACAUCUGCUCCCUGCUGCUAAUGAGCUUUAACCUGUUUCAUUCUUAUUAUGCUUACUGUUUAGAUAUUUUGCUUGCAAAAUUAAUUCUAUAGCUGGGAGAACACUUGAGAGAGGAUAUGAUUUGUAAUAUAGGUCUGUUUAAAAAUUGGAAAGUAUCAGCAAGGGAGAUUAAAGGCUCUAAUGAGUGAUGUGUUACUUAAUAUCAAUUCAAGGACAUAAACUCAGGUGGUACAACUAAUGCUGUUUCUCAGUUUUUUGUCCUCCUGAGAUAUGGGCUGAUGCUGUAGGAGACAUUGUCUUUGUUCUGCAUUCGACAUCUGCACUGGGUGUGUGUGUGUGUGUGUGUGUGUGUCUGUCUGUCUGUCUGUCUGU